CCAUUUCAACGACAGGUUCGUAUGGAGGAUGGUACCUGGUGUUGAAACAAAUGGUUCGUUCACAUAACAUAAAGCAUAUCGUCCACAUAUUUCCUCGUCUCUCGAACGAGAGUUCGGGUGUGGGAUCUUGUGUUUCUAUAUCAUCUUCGAAAAGAGGAAGUUUACCCGGCGAAGAACGGUACCCCUACGAACGAGGACCAGGACACGCAUCAAGUGAGGUACGAAGGCUCAAGAAGUCCGACGAAGUACCUCCUUUCCCGCCGGGAGUACCUAUAAUCGAGAACCAAGUACUCGCGUGUGAGGCUCCAAGGGUGAAGCACCCCUGUGCCACUACUGACGACGAGCACCUUUUUCUAGUGAACGCUGUUGUAGUGUGCUGCUUAUAACGCAGAGCUAGAAAGGAUAGAGAUGGUCCUUUAGGGAUGGGCAUUAUCACUACCAAGGUACAGUUAGUUUAAAUGCCUUCAACGUACGACCUUGGAGUUGAACUGUUAGAAAAGAAGAAAGGCCCUCGAAGUCGACGAUCUAAAGAGCCGUUUAAAGCGAACGAAUGUUUUAAAGCUGCCAUACACUGAAGGCAUUUAGAAUAAGACUUAGCUCGUUAAGGAGUCCAGAUGUUCCUAACUCGUUCGAGUUCAUAGAGUUGGAGUCACUGUUGUCAAAGUAUCCCUUAUAGGGUCUUAGAGAGUCGUUGAACCAAAGAGACCUCCGGUAUUUAGAGUUCCUUUUAUUGUACUCACCCCGAGAAGUCUUAUAUCCAAAUCUUUUAGAGGUCUUGGACGCUCUUAACGUAAACCCUAGGUUAGCUAACUUACCAUCGGAGGGUCGUAGGAAUAAACGGGAAGGUACGGAACUCAUGGACCUAGAAAGUCUUUUGGAAAAACUUCCUGUAUAUGGAUAUUUGAGUAGAACCUUAACAAGGAGCAACGAAGUUUGAUAGGCCAAUAGGCCUUUGUUCGAUUCACCAUUUAAACUAAAGAAGACCGAUUCUUUGACACGGCUCGAGUUUGUCUAUCUAGACAGUUCUUUAUGACUAAACCAACAAGAUCGCUUUUACGUACCAACCCGUGGAUUUAAAUUUAACUCUUGUGAUUACGAAAGAAGCACAUUGGAACUAUUCUCGUACUAAUGUCUCGGUGUAAAGGAUGCGUGUGUCGUAGUAGACGUCAAAGAACUAAACAGGUUGUUAUUAAACGGACCUUCGUACGGGUUAAAAGACAAGUGUUUACUUCGCCGUGAUCAAAUGGACCUAGAAAGUUUGUUGAAGAAUCAACCUAGUAAUAUGGGGUAAACCGUUUUGGUUUGAUUAGAAGUUGAUCACUUGCAUAGAGACUUGGUAUAACUUCCUGUCGACGGUCGGUUAUAGUCAAGGUACAAAGGGCUUGACACCUAAGAGCUACAAAGAGUAUUAUUAUAUAGACCUCAACACGGUAGAAGUAACACGUUGUAACCGUCGUAACCUGAAUACCUAGACAGUUUAUUAUUUAAAUGUCCUCUCCAUGGUAGAACGAACAAGUGACUAACAAGACGAAACUUACAUAACUUCGAAAGUUUGUUAUUGGAGCCCCCACAUUAUGAGUUACCCCAAUCAUUGGACAGUCAACGCCGUCUUUAUAUGGAUCUGUUGUUGUUUAAACUUCCCCGAGAUGGAUCUUUAGACAGACCAUUACAGGUUUAGUACCUAAAUGUACUAUUGGUAUACAGUCCUCGUGACCUGUAAAGUAAUACCUUAGAAUGAAGUGACCGUCGAAACUCGGAUCGAUCUUUAUCAAAUUGGCCACUGUAAGUAGGUCUUUAAACACUUAAUUGUUCAGAAGUCUACAAUCUAGAUAGCCUAUUGAUAAAAGAUCCCGAAUAUGGUGUGACGUCGUCAUGUAAUGGUGAGGCCAAAGACUUAUAUAGACCCUUAAGUGACAGUCCGAGAGGUUUACGUAAAAAGUUGUCGAGGAAGUAAUGUCGAAACCUAGAUUCGGCCUUAGUCAAGCGUCCGUUGGAACUGACCUAUGCUAUAGAAAGACUUUAGUCAGAUGACAACAAUCCUUCUUUAUUCAAACUCCCUGUCUAGAGUAGUUUAGAGACAGCAGAGGUUAUGAACUCAUAUUAACUGUAGAGAGUAUUGUUUGAGAGCCCAAUACAUGGUGCCACAUAACCACCGUAGGGUAAACAACUUCGAAUAUGUAAAAUGACCGGGUCAUAGUUGGUAUUGAGAAAACCUCCCUUGAAACCACACAAGCUACUAUACCCGAAGAAUAUAUUGUCACUAAUGCUUGAGGUUCCGAAGUGUAAAUGGUGAUUUCCCUUGGGUAUGUGUAUGCCUGUCUUGAAGAAGUACAGCUACAGACCGUAACUGAAUAGACGUUUGUACGACAGUCCUCUCUAAGGCUACCUCUACCCCUUAAACUCGGUGUAGUUCAGAGAGUUGAACAGCUUGUUAAAGAAAUGACCGAGAUAGGGACGUUGGAAGCGUUUGAACUCGCUCUAACUCUCGAAUCUGGAUAGUCUUUUGUCCGACUCGCCUAGUCACGGUACCGUCAAUUGAGCCGAUAGUAGGGAUCUCCACAAAAGACACCGUAUGUUGUUAAAUAGCCCCACAGAUGGUCGGUCGCCAGUCAAGUCGUGUAAGCUAUACCUGUCAAUGUUUCCCUUGUUGUUGGAAUCUAGUACGUGAAGUUCAAGUCCAGGGUACCGUGGUUUACCACAACGUUCUUCACACCGACUACUAAGACUGGGCUAGGAAAUGCACCAGCCACGGUAAAGUAAGCAGAACCGUAAAACCCGGUGACAGCGUAAGCAUAAAACGGUACGUAAACCUGCCGCACAACAUGAGUUUGACAUUAUCCAUUUCUCUGCCUCCCGAUCGUUUAUGACCACUUACCGCUGCUAAAUGUGUCGUCUUUAUAAACAUUUGAUACGAAAUUAUUAGACGAAAGGACCAGACAACAUUUGAUACGAUAGUAAACAACGAAAUACCUUCGAAACAGAG
rnacentral:rRNA from 1 species